AGAGUUUGAUCAUGGCUCAGAUUGAACGCUGGCGGCAGGCUUAACACAUGCAAGUCGAGCGGUAACAGGGGUAGCUUGCUACCCGCUGACGAGCGGCGGACGGGUGAGUAAUGCUUAGGAAUCUGCCCAGUAGUGGGGGAUAGCCCGGGGAAACCCGGAUUAAUACCGCAUACGUCCUACGGGAGAAAGCAGGGGAUCUUCGGACCUUGCGCUAUUGGAUGAGCCUAAGUCGGAUUAGCUAGUUGGUGGGGUAAAGGCCUACCAAGGCGACGAUCCGUAGCUGGUCUGAGAGGAUGAUCAGCCACAUCGGGACUGAGACACGGCCCGAACUCCUACGGGAGGCAGCAGUGGGGAAUAUUGGACAAUGGGGGCAACCCUGAUCCAGCCAUGCCGCGUGUGUGAAGAAGGCUUUCGGGUUGUAAAGCACUUUCAGUAGGGAGGAAAACCUUAUGGCUAAUACCCAUGAGGCUUGACGUUACCUACAGAAGAAGCACCGGCUAACUCCGUGCCAGCAGCCGCGGUAAUACGGAGGGUGCAAGCGUUAAUCGGAAUUACUGGGCGUAAAGCGCGCGUAGGUGGUUUGGUAAGCGAGAUGUGAAAGCCCCGGGCUUAACCUGGGAACGGCAUUUCGAACUGUCAGACUAGAGUGUGGUAGAGGGUAGUGGAAUUUCCUGUGUAGCGGUGAAAUGCGUAGAUAUAGGAAGGAACACCAGUGGCGAAGGCGGCUACCUGGACCAACACUGACACUGAGGUGCGAAAGCGUGG
rnacentral:rRNA from 1 species